rnacentral:rRNA from 1 species
ACGGGUGUGUAACGCGUAGGUAACCUGCCUGGUAGCGGGGGAUAACUAUUGGAAACGAUAGCUAAUACCGCAUAAUAGUAGAUGUUGCAUGACAUUUGCUUAAAAGGUGCAAUUGCAUCACUACCAGAUGGACCUGCGUUGUAUUAGCUAGUUGGUGGGGUAACGGCUCACCAAGGCGACGAUACAUAGCCGACCUGAGAGGAUGACCGGCCACAUUGGGACUGAGACACGGCCCAAACUCCUACGGGAGGCAGCAGUGGGGAAUAUUGGACAAUGGGGGAAACCCUGAUUCAGCGACGCCGCGUGAGUGAGGAAGUAUUUCGGUAUGUAAAGCUCUAUCAGCAGGGAAGAAAAUGACGGUACCUGACUAAGAAGCCCCGGCUAACUACGUGCCAGCAGCCGCGGUAAUACGUAGGGGGCAAGCGUUAUCCGGAUUUACUGGGUGUAAAGGGAGCGCAGACGGCCAAGCAAGUCUGAAGUGAAAUGCGUGGGCUCAACCCAUGAAUUGCUUUGGAAACUGUUAGGCUUGAGUGUCGGAGGGGUAAGCGGAAUUCCUAGUGUAGCGGUGAAAUGCGUAGAUAUUAGGAGGAACACCGGAGGCGAAGGCGGCUUACUGGACGACAACUGACGUUGAGGCUCGAAGGCGUGGGGAGCAAACAGGAUUAGAUACCCC